GACGUAGGGCGCGAGCGUUGUCCGGAUUUAUUGGGCGUAAAGAGCUCGUAGGCGGCUUGUCGCGUCGACUGUGAAAACCCACGGCUUAACUGUGGGCUUGCAGUCGAUACGGGCAGGCUAGAGUUCGGUAGGGGAGACUGGAGUUCCUGGUGUAGCGGUGAAAUGCGCAGAUAUCAGGAGGAACACCGGUGGCGAAGGCGGGUCUCUGGGCCGAUACUGACGCUGAGGAGCGAAAGCGUGGGGAGCGAACAGG
rnacentral:rRNA from 1 species